CCGCCAGACUCCUACGGGAGGCAGCAGUGAGGAAUAUUGGUCAAUGGGCGGGAGCCUGAACCAGCCAAGUCGCGUGAGGGAAGACGGUCCUACGGAUUGUAAACCUCUUUUGCCGGGGAGCAACGGGGUCCUUGCGAGGGCCCGAUGAGAAUACCCGGAGAAAAAGCAUCGGCUAACUCCGUGCCAGCAGCCGCGGUAAUACGGAGGAUGCGAGCGUUAUCCGGAUUUAUUGGGUUUAAAGGGUGCGUAGGCGGGCUGUUAAGUCAGCGGUCAAAUGUCGGGGCUCAACCCCGGCCUGCCGUUGAAACUGUCGGACUAGAGACGGCGAGAAGUACGCGGAAUGCGCGGUGUAGCGGUGAAAUGCAUAGAUAUCGCGCAGAACUCCGAUUGCGAAGGCAGCAUUCCGGCGCCCAACUGACGCUGAAGCACGGAAGCGUGGGUAUCGAACAGGAUUAGAUACCCUUGUAG
rnacentral:rRNA from 1 species